rnacentral:miRNA from 10 species
GGAACUUGUUAGAUAUGCAAAUUCCCAGCCCUGCCCCACACUCACUAAGCUGGAAACUCUGGGAUGGAGCCCAGAAAUCUGCAUUUUAAC